rnacentral:lncRNA from 1 species
UCAAACUCAGAAAUCCGCCUGCCUCUGUCUCCUGAGUGCUGGGACUAAAGGUGUGCGCCACCACGCCCGGUCCAAGGCAACUCUUAUAAGGACAACAUUUAACCAGGGCUAGUUAUGAAGAAAUACAGUUUCUAGCUUAACUGAUGUACACCAAAGCUAUUUACAGAGCUUGCAGCUUUUGCUUCCCUGUCUCCUGCUGCAAGCUUUCUGCAGCAGCUUCUCCCUAUCUCCUGCUGUCUCCUGCUGCUUAAAGAAUUUCCCCUUCCCCUGCCAGUGUAAACAAAUUCAAGACCACUGGGCCCCUUCCCUAUCUUCAGGGACAGACUAGUGGUCAUAAAGACCACAGCUGCCAGAAAUAACCGUCCUUGAGAAAACUUCCCUACCCCUCCUCAGUCUGAAUUCUGAGGAAAACUAUAAACUGCUUUGAUCUUGCUGAUUGCUGACAGAGUUUUCUGCCAAAUUAAAAUUAUACUGUUGUGCCAGGCGGUGGUGGCACACGCCUCUAAUCCCAGCACUUGGGAGGCAGAGGCCAGCCUGGUCUACAAAGUCAGUUCCAGGACAGCCAGGGCUAUACAGAGAAGCCCUGUCUCAAAAAAACCAAAAAGAAAAACAAACAAACAAAUAAAUUAUACGGUUGCUUUACUAGCCAAUAAUAAUAUAGCUGUGUAAACACCUUCAAAAGAGUAUAAAAUAGCUGUAUUUUGGACAAUCAGGGUUGACUCUCCCUGCAAGGCUGAGCGACCCCACGAAUCGGAAUAAAAACCUCUUGUUAUUACAGCAAUCUGUCAUUAAGCUGUGUUUCUGUGGGUCACAUUCUCUACCCCUACAGGUUCAGAAGUUCAGUCUCCUAUCAAGGUGGGAGCAUGGCAGUGUCCAGGCAGGCUAGAUGCAGCAGGAGCUGAGAGUUUUACAUCUUCAUCCAAAGGCAAACAGGAGCUGGGCGUGGUGCGCCACACCUUUAAUCCCAGCACUCAGGAGGCAGAGGCAGGCGGAUUUCUGAGUUCGAGGCUAGCCUGGUCUACAAAGUGAGUUCCAGGACAGCCAGGGCUAUAAAGAGAAACCCUGUCUCGAAAAAAAACAGAAACAAAAACAAAACAAAACAAAAAAACCC